GACGAACGCUGGCGGCGUGCCUAACACAUGCAAGUCGAACGGAAAGGCCCUGCUUUUGUGGGGUGCUCGAGUGGAGAACGGGUGAGUAACACGUGAGUAACCAGUCAUUGACCUUGGGAUAACUUCAGGAAACUGGGGGUAAUACCGGAAAGGAGCUCUUGCUGCAUGGUGGGGGCUGGAAAGUUUAGGCGGUUGGGGAUGGACUAGCGGCUUAUGAGCUUGAUGGUGUGGUAGUGGCUUACCAAGGCUUUGACGGGUAGCCGGCCUGAGAGGGUGACCUGCCACAUUAGGACUGAGAUACGACCCAGACUCCAACCGUACGCAGCGGUGGAGAAUAUUACACAAUAGGCGGAGGCCUAGUGCGACAACGCCGCGUGCGGUAAGACAUCCUUCGUGUUGUGAACCGCUGUCCCCUUAGACGAGGUGAUAAUGACGGUAAUGGGUGAAUAAGCACCGGCUAACUACGUG
rnacentral:rRNA from 1 species